UACGAAGGGGGCUAGCGUUGUUCGGAGUUACUGGGCGUAAAGGGCGCGUAGGCGGCGCAUCAAGUCAGGCGUGAAAGCCCUGGGCUCGACCCGGGAAUUGCGCUUGAGACUGGUGUGCUUGAGUUCGAGAGAGGUGAGUGGAACUGCGAGUGUAGAGGUGAAAUUCGUAGAUAUUCGCAAGAACACCAGUGGCGAAGGCGGCUCACUGGCUCGAUACUGACGCUGAGGUGCGAAAGCGUGGGGAGCAAACAGG
rnacentral:rRNA from 1 species